CUCGAGGAGGAAGGGUUGCAGGUGUAUGUGGGGUACUUGAAAAAAGUGAUCUCCAUGAGAUCCAGGCUUGAAUUUGAGAAUUUGGUGGAGUUGAUGGAGCAGAGUCAUAAUCAGAAUCAGGUUAAUUUUGUUGGGUGUUUAACAAAUUUGUUUAAGGACAUUGUGUUGGCUAUAGAGGAAAAUGAUGAAAUCUUGAGGAGUCUUUGUGGG
rnacentral:misc_RNA from 1 species